GACAUGCUGAGUGUACGUCUCCCAUCACCCAAAUGCAAGCUCCUUGAGAGCAGCGACGUGGUAUUUCCAAUGCCUGGAACAGUACGUGGCACCUGAUGAGUACAGUCAAAGGUAUUUCGGAAUGUUUGCUGAGUGGGGACUGAUAGCACAGCAAAGAAGCUCCAUGCAGACUGGAUUGCUGGCAUGGGGUAAGGAGGAGAAGCCAGCCAGAGUGACCUGGCCCAGCGAUUGGGAACCAGGGACCUUGACUAACUUUGUCCAGAUGUAAAGGGCUGGAAUGUUGGCGUGAUGGUUGAAGCUGUAACAGCCAUCUUCGACUACAAAAUGGAAGCUGCAUGCUACAAAUGACAGAAGACAAGAUCAAAAGAACCUGUGUUCCCAGCACCACAGAACUGUCCCUAUGGAAAUAGACAUGACUGUUACAUAAGAAAGAAAUAUACCCUACUAUGUUUAAGCCUCUGUUAUUUUAGCAUGUGUUGUAGCAGUUGUAUACUAAGUAACUAAUGAGAAAGAAUAUUUUGUGCCCUGGUAAAGAUGGAUACUUCUAUAUGUUAUGAGAACAAUUUGAUGAGGUAAUUGUAAUUUAGUAGAAUAAUAUCAAAUAUUAAUGUCAAAUGACUAGUUUGGCAUUGCCACAUAGUAAUUGUUGGGCAAGUUAUUAACCUGUGUCUCAGUUUCCUCACUGGUAGAAUAA
rnacentral:lncRNA from 10 species